rnacentral:rRNA from 1 species
CAGUCGCCGCGGGAAUACGGAGGGUGCAAGCGUUAAUCGGAAUUACUGGGCGUAAAGCGCACGCAGGCGGUUUGUUAAGUCAGAUGUGAAAUCCCCGAGCUUAACUUGGGAACUGCAUUUGAAACUGGCAAGCUAGAGUCUUGUAGAGGGGGGUAGAAUUCCAGGUGUAGCGGUGAAAUGCGUAGAGAUCUGGAGGAAUACCGGUGGCGAAGGCGGCCCCCUGGACAAAGACUGACGCUCAGGUGCGAAAGCGUGGGGAGCAAGCAGGAUUAGAUACCCCAGUAGUCCCUGUCUCUUAUAC